GGGUCCAAUUAACUUUACUGUGUUCCUCACAAUGUUUGGGGAGAAACUUAAGGGAGCGGACCCUGAGGAAACCAUUCUCAACGCAUUCAAAGUGUUUGACCCUGAAGGCAAAGGGGUGCUGAAGGCUGAUUAGUGACGUUCGGGAAAUGCUGACCACGCAGGCGGAGAGGUUUUCCAAGGAGGAGGUUGACCAGAUGUUCGCCGCCUUCCCCCCUGACGUGACUGGCAACUUGGACUACAAGAACCUGGUGCACAUCAUCACCCACGGAGAAGAGAAGGACUAGGAGGGGGCUCGCUGCUGCGCCCUGGGCUCGUCUUUGCAGAGUGGUCCCUGCCCUCAUCUCUCUCCCCCGAGUACCGCCUCUGUCCCUACCUUGUCUGUUAGCCAUGUGGCUGCCCCAUUUAUCCACCUCCAUCUUCUUUGCAGCCUGGGUGGCUAUGGGUACUUCGUGGCCGCACAUCCUACAGUUGGAAAUCCAUCCAGAGGCCAUGUUCCAAUAAACAGGAG
rnacentral:lncRNA from 1 species